CCUACGGGAGGCUGCAGUAGGGAAUAUUGCGCAAUGGGGGAAACCCUGACGCAGCGACGCCGCGUGAGCGAAGAAGGCCUUCGGGUCGUAAAGCUCUGUCCUAUGGGAAGAAGUAUGCUUUGAGCAUAUUGACGGUACCAUAGGAGGAAGUCCCGACUAACUACGUGCCAGCAGUCGCGGUAAUACGUAGGGGGCGAGCGUUGUCCGGAAUUACUGGGCGUAAAGGGUGCGUAGGCGGGCUGUUAAGUCUGAUGUGAAAGUCUAUGGCUUAACCAUAGGAAUGCAUUGGAAACUGGCAGUCUAGAGUGCAGGAGAGGGAAGCGGAAUUCCCGGUGUAGCGGUGGAAUGCGUAGAUAUCGGGAGGAACACCAGUGGCGAAGGCGGCUUCCUGGACUGUAACUGACGCUGAGGCACGAAAGCUGGGGUAGCAAACAGGAUUAGAUACCCCUGUAGUC
rnacentral:rRNA from 1 species